rnacentral:misc_RNA from 1 species
AAGUCGUAACAAGGUUUCCGUAGGUGAACCUGCGGAAGGAUCAUUCAUAAUCAAGUGUUUUUAUGGCACUUUCAAAAAUCCAUAUCCACCUUGUGUGCAAUGUCAUCUCUCUGGGGGCUGCCGGCUGUCAAAAGCCGUGUGGUCACCUUUGGGAUUUAUAUCUACUCAGAACUCUAGUGAUUUUGUCUGAAACAUAUUAUGAAUACUUAAUUCAAAAUACAACUUUCAACAACGGAUCUCUUGGCUCUC